rnacentral:rRNA from 1 species
UACGUAGGCAGCGAGCGUUGUUCGGAGUUACUGGGCGUAAAGAGUGCGUAGGCGGUUUUCUAAGUUUGGUGUGAAAUCUCCCGGCUUAACUGGGAGGGUGCGCCGAAGACUGGAAGGCUUUGAGUAUGGGAGGAGGUAAGCGGAAUUCCUGGUGUAGCGGUGAAAUGCGUAGAGUAUCAGGAGGAACACCUGCGGUGUAGACGGCUUCUGGACCAUCACUGACGCUGAGGCACGAAAGCGUGGGUAGCAAACGG